rnacentral:lncRNA from 1 species
AGAGCGAGAGCGGAGGGAGGCGACAGCCUGGACCGCUUUAGGUCCCUGGGGGCUGCAGAGGCCCACGAAAUGGUACCAUGAGCCACCACUGAGCGCGUCAUUGUCAGAAAUGACGUGCGUCCCUUCCAUCCUCCCUUCCAUACACAGGUAUUGAACGCCCACUGUGGCAGACUCUGUGCCCGGCCAGCGGCGGGCUCAGGACCUCCUAGCUCAGGGCUCUCAAGAGGGCCGAGAGCUCCCUAAUCUUUGAUACCAGAUUCAGUCAUUCAAUUAUUCCACUGAACAUCUAUUUCUUGAGCACCUACUAUACACCAGGUAAUGGGGAGACGAUGUCUUCUGAGACCCCUUCCUGUCUUCUAAGGAGCUUGCUGCCUGGAUCGGGAAACAGACAAAGCUGGCAAUAAACCAAGAUUGCCCUGAUCGAUUUCUAUUCGUCGCCGCCGGCAUGAGGGUCACAACCAGGUCCAAGAGGAGGUCCAGCCUCAGAGCAUUGCCCUCGCCAUGACCUCUGCCAGGAAUGCCCUUCCUCCGCUUCCCACUGGGCCUGGUGAGACCUCCUUGCUCUCCAGCUUCCCCUCCUCCAGGAAACUUUUCCUAACAUCCCAGUAAGAGCCCC